rnacentral:rRNA from 1 species
UACGUAGGUGGCAAGCGUUGUCCGGAUUUACUGGGCGUAAAGGGCGCGUAGGCGGCCACCGCAAGUCGACUGUGAAAUCUCCGGGCUUAACCCGGAAAGGUCAGCCGAUACUGCGGGGCUAGAGUGCAGAAGGGGCAACUGGAAUUCUCGGUGUAGCGGUGAAAUGCGUAGAUAUCGAGAGGAACACCUGCGGCGAAGGCGGGUUGCUGGGCUGACACUGACGCUGAGGCGCGAAGGCUGGGGUAGCGAACAGG